rnacentral:rRNA from 1 species
CAAUAGCGUAUAUUAAAGUUGUUGCAGUUAAAAAGCUCGUAGUUGAAUUUUUGCUUGCCGCCGAUGUCGGAACUUCCGUACGUUCGGCGGCGUGCAUCCUUGGGUGGAUCCUGUGUGGCAUUAGGUUGUCGUGCAGGGGAUGCUCAUCGUUUACUGUGAAAAAAUUAGAGUGUUCAAAGCAGGCUUACGCCGUUGAAUAUAUUAGCAUGGAAUAAUAAGAUAGGACCUUGGUACUAUUUUGUUGGUUUGCGCACCGAGGUAAUGAUUAACAGGGACAGUUGGGGGUAUUCGUAUUCCAUUGUCAGAGGUGAAAUUCUUGGAUUUCUGGAAGACGAACUACUGCGAAAGCAUUUACCAAGGAUGUUUUCAUUAA